CUUAGCUUUGUUUAUAUGGUUUGAGAUUUUAGCUUCUCACUUGAUACAUAUGUAUAACAAUACUCUUCUCUUCAAACAAUUGGUUUUAAUAUGCAGGCUGAAGGAUCAUCAGCUGAAUCUAUAGCUGCUCUGGCCAAAGUUGAUACUGUUAAGCAGAGAAUGGAAGCUGCUUAUGAGACAUUGCAGGAUGCUGCUGGGUUAACUCAAUUAAGUUCAACUGUGGAAGAUGUUUUUGCCAGUGGUGA